ACUUAUGUUUCGUCUAUCACCUAUAUAUUUGAUAUCUUACUGUAAUCACUUAAGAUUUACUCUUCUCUACAUUUCUUCCUGGAAUAUGAUGGUCAUUGCUUUCGUACCAGAAAUAAAUACGUAGAACAUCUCUUAACAAAUGUACAAAUGUAUUCUAUGCCAUACAUAUACAUCUGCACCGUUUUUUUAUAUUAGUUUCAUGCAGAUCAUCAAUAUUUCAAAUUUUGAAAAUAUAACCUCAUCCAACACUGAAGCACUUGUAAGCAGCUGAAUAUAAGUGUAGUAACUCGGCUGAAUCUUUAAAAUAUUAAUAUUUCUGUUACUUCAUUAUGAGCAAACCACAUUUCUCAUUACUUCCAUGUGAUGACUUACAUUUUUGGACAGAUAAUAUGUUAAGUUGUGCUUCACAUUAACUAAAUUGUAAUUGUAGCCAUCUAGUGAAAUUAUAUUUCUAUUGUCCCCAAAAAGUGCUAAUAAUGUCAAACUUAUGAUAAAUUACUGUAUUGACAGUGUAAUGGUCAACUUUAACAAACUGUUCUUUAAUUCAUUUUUAUCUGUUUUGAAGGACUUGCUGACGCUCAUUUAAGAAAAUGGAGAGAGAUCAACAAGAUCAGUGGGAUAGAGAGGUUGUGGCGUGAUCUGUGGAUGGGAGUCACAUGUGUUUUCUACAAUGUUCUACACCAACUGGAGGAGGAAAACCUCUUGGAUCUUAGCAAUCCUCUGCACUUGUUUUGCUGUCAUUAUGUUUUCUUGCCUCGCUUGCAAGUGCAUCUUGACAUAUUUAAACAAGGAUGGGACAAUCACCCAAUGAGAACUGAACAAAACCUCACUCCAAAUCAGUUGUGGGAACUGGGACAGAUCGGACAUUCAGUGGUUGACCCAGAGAUUCCCCAUAUAAACUGGGAGGAAAGUGGGCUUGUUCCUGAUCCACAUGCUGAAUUGCGAGUACCAGAGUUGGACAGCCCACUUACAGAAGAUCAGAUGGAGCUUCUCCGUGAAAACAUUGACCCCCUACAACCUUCAGAGUCUAGUGGCAUGGACAUUUACAUGGAUACUCUGCAAUAUUUGGAAACUUUACUUGUGACAAAUUAGAUGUCACUUAAAUUUAAAUGUUUGUAAUGAACAGCAUUUUCAAUACCAUUUAUUUAAAAAAUCCAUCAAACAUGUACAAAUAUACAAGCAAGUACAAGCUAGAGAAAGAACCAGCUGGCAAAAAUAUUAACUUUAUAAAGUUUAAUGUACACCAGAAACAUGAAAAUUAUUUUAUGUUUGAAUGCCAAACAUUUGUGGAAUAUUUCAGCAAAAACCCACAUGAUGAACAGGGAUGCCUGACAAACAUUUAGUAGUCACCUCAGGAACACAACUUCAUGUCAAGACUGUGUUGAUGGACAUUAUUUGUAAAAAAAAAAAAAAAAAAAAGCAAGGCUAAUAAUAAAAUUACUUUCUAUU